rnacentral:tRNA from 2 species
GGUCCCGUAGCUCAGCAGGAUAGAGCGCAGGAUUCCUAAUCCUGAGGCCACUGGUUCGAAUCCAGUCGGGAUCACCA